GAAAGGCCAGGGUGAUGCCGAGAGCAAGUGGCCUUCUGCAGCGGUGUGGGCCUUGUUCCUGUCCCCAUGCCU
ensembl:miRNA